CCUGGAACUUCCUCAGAGCCUCAUCCAGUUCCAUUCCUGAGAAGUCCAUCUCAUCCACCACACAGCUAGAAACGGAGCAUGACAGGACGUCUCUGUUGAAGAGCAACUUGCUGUUCCCAAGGAACUCUCCAAUCAUCUGUCGGCUUAGGCCCUUCCUCUGUAACAGGAAGUGGGCCACACCCAUGGGCGUGUCUGGGACGAAACCACGCGUGAUCAGAAAAUGGAUGCCUCGCUCUGGAUUCCUACGGCAGACAAAGACAGAACCAUAUCAGUAGGUGGAGACACAGGGUUGGGACAAGGAGGCCAAUGAAGUGUGUCAAAGAGCGGGG